rnacentral:rRNA from 1 species
UGGGGAAUAUUGGACAAUGGGCGAAAGCCUGAUCCAGCCAUGCCGCGUGUGUGAAGAAGGUCCUCGGAUUGUAAAGCACUUUAAGUUGGGAGGAAGGGCAUUAACCUAAUACGUUAGUGUUUUGACGUUACCGACAGAAUAAGCACCGGCUAACUCUGUGCCAGCAGCCGCGGUAAUACAGAGGGUGCAAGCGUUAAUCGGAAUUACUGGGCGUAAAGCGCGCGUAGGUGGUUUGUUAAGUUGGAUGUGAAAUCCCCGGGCUCAACCUGGGAACUGCAUUCAAAACUGACUGACUAGAGUAUGGUAGAGGGUGGUGGAAUUUCCUGUGUAGCGGUGAAAUGCGUAGAUAUAGGAAGGAACACCAGUGGCGAAGGCGACCACCUGGACUAAUACUGACACUGAGGUGCGAAAGCGUGGGGAGCAAACA